rnacentral:rRNA from 1 species
AUGAUCAACGCCAGGAGAAUUGCUCAACUAGCAAAGAAGUGGCAGAGGGUAGCAGCUCUCGGGAGGAAGCGCUUUACCAUGACGGCAACAACAGAAGUCGAAGAGUGCUCAACAGCAGUGGCACGAGAGGGCCACUGUGUCAUGUACACCACUGAUGGGAGACGGUUCGAGGUGCCAUUGGCAUACCUCAGCACGGUGGUCUUCAGUGAGCUCCUGCGGAUGUCUGAAGAGGUGUUUGGUUUCGCAGGCAGUGAAGGAGGGAUCAAGCUGCCCUGUGACGCCAUGGUGAUGGAGUACGCCAUGUCCAUGCUCAGAAGAAGUGCCUCUGCUGAGGUGGAGGCAGCGUUCCUUAGCUCCAUGGUGAUGCCAUGCUACUAUACAGCUCCACCUGUGGAAGUUAGCCAGCAUGUUAUUGUCUGCAGUUGCUAA